CCCUAUGGGGCGCAGCAGGCGCGAAACCUCUGCAAUAAGCGAAAGCUUGACAGGGUUACUCUGAGUGAUUUCCGCUAAGGAAGUCUUUUGGCACCUCUAAAAUGGUGCAGAAUAAGGGGUGGGCAAGUCUGGUGUCAGCCGCCGCGGUAAUACCAGCACCCCGAGUGGUCGGGACGAUUAUUGGGCCUAAAGCAUCCGUAGCCGGUCCUGCAAGUCCUCCGUUAAAUCCACCCGCUCAACGGUUGGGCCGCGGGGGAUACUACAGGGCUAGGAGGCGGGAGAGGCAAGCGGGUACUCGAUGGGUAGGGGUAAAAUCCACUGAUCCAUUGAAGACCACCAGUGGCGAAGGCGGCUUGCCAGAACGCGCUCGACGGUGAGGGAUGAAAGCUGGGGGAGCAAACCGGAUUAGAUACCCGGGUAGUCCCAGCUGUAAACGAUGCAGACUCGGUGAUGGGCUGGCUUCGGGCCAACCCGGUGCCGCAGGGAAGCCGUUAAGUCUACCGCCUGGGGAGUACGGUCGCAAGACUGAAACUUAA
rnacentral:rRNA from 1 species